UACGUAGGGUGCAAGCGUUUGUCCGGAAUUAUUGGGCGUAAAGAGCUCGUAGGCGGUUUGUCGCGUCUGCUGUGAAAAUCCAGGGCUUAACCCUGGACCUGCAGUGGGUACGGGCAGACUAGAGUGCGGUAGGGGAGAUCGGAAUUCCUGGUGUAGCGGUGAAAUGCGCAGAUAUCAGGAGGAACACCGGUGGCGAAGGCGGAUCUCUGGGCCGUAACUGACGCUGGAGGAGCGAAAGCAUGGGGAGC
rnacentral:rRNA from 1 species